UACGUAGGGUCCGAGCGUUGUCCGGAAUUAUUGGGCGUAAAGGGCUCGUAGGCGGUUCGUCACGUCGGGAGUGAAAACUCGGAGCUCAACUCCGAGCCUGCUUCCGAUACGGGCAGACUAGAGGUAUGCAGGGGAGAAUGGAAUUCCUGGUGUAGCGGUGAAAAUGCGCAGAUAUCAGGAGGAACACCGGUGGCGAAGGCGGCGUUCUGGACUGUCUCUGACACUGAAGAACGAAAGCCAGGGGAGCAAACGGG
rnacentral:rRNA from 1 species